rnacentral:rRNA from 1 species
CGUCACGGGCUCGAUCCGUCCCACCCUCCGUCUACCAUCCUCCGUUGCCUCGGCGGGCGGCCCGGCCGCCCGUCGGAGGCCCCGUAACCACGCUCUAAUGACUGUGGGGUUCUGAGUGUCGGCUUUAAUGGCUUAAAACUUUCAACAACGGAUCUCUUGGCUCUGGCGUCGAUGAAGAACGCAGCGAAACGCGAUAGGUAAUCUGAAUUGCAGAAUUCAGCGAAUGAUCGAAUCUUUGAACGCACAUGGCGCCCUCUGGUAUUCCGGGGGGCACGCCUGUCCGAGCGUCAUCACACCCCUCAAGCCUCGCUUGGUAUUGGGCCGCGCCGCUGUGUCGGCGGGCCUGAAACGUGCUGGCGGCGUCGUGAGCCCCCGAAGCGCACAUGGUCUUGCACCGCGCGCGAGGACGGUCGCGUCGCCUGUCAUGGUGACCCCUCACCCUCGUAAUCGACCUCGGAUCAGGCGGGGAUACCCGCUGAACUUAAGCAUAUCAAUAAGCGGAGGAAUAUCGAGAGCGGCGGGCCCGACACGGGCUGAUCGUCACCUCCGUCUACCAUCCUCCGUUGCCUCGGCGGGCGGCCGGCGCCCGUCGGAGGCCCGUAACCACGCUCUAAUGACUGUGGGGUUCUGAGUGUCG